rnacentral:tRNA from 1 species
GGAAGCGUGGCUGAGUGGUUGAAGGCACCGGUUUCGAAAACCGGCAUAGGCGCAAGCCUAUCAGAGGUUCAAAUCCUCUCGCUUCCGCCA